GUCUACGGCCAUGCCAUCCUGAACGCGUCCGACCUCGUCUGAUCUCGGAAGCUAAGCAGGGUCAGGCCUGGUGAGAACUUGGAUGGGAGACCACCUUGGAAUACCAGAUGCUAUAGGGA
rnacentral:rRNA from 1 species